UACGGAGGGUGCAAGCGUUAUCCGGAAUCACUGGGUUUAAAGGGUGCGUAGGCGGCGAGAUAAGUCAGUUGUGAAAUUCCCCGGCUUAACCGGCGGGACUGCGAUUGAUACUGUUUUGCUUGAAACAGGUUGAGGUAAGCGGAAUGUGGCAUGUAGCGGUGAAAUGCAUAGAUAUGCCAUAGAACACCGAUUGCGAAGGCAGCUUGCUGGGCCUUGUUUGACGCUGAGGCACGAAAGCGUGGGGAGCAAACAGGAUUAGAAACCCCAGUAGUCC
rnacentral:rRNA from 1 species